rnacentral:rRNA from 1 species
UAGGGAAUAUUGGUCAAUGGGCGCAAGCCUGAACCGGCCAUGCCGCGUGCAGGAUGACGGCCCUCAGGGUUGUAAACUGCUUUUAUAUGGGAAUAAAAAAGUCCUUGCGAGGACUCUUGAAGGUACCAUAAGAAUAAGCACCGGCUAACUCCGUGCCAGCAGCCGCGGUAAUACGGAGGGUGCGAGCGUUGUCCGGAUUUAUUGGGUUUAAAGGGUGCGUAGGCGGUUAUUUAAGUCAGUGGUGAAAACCCUGAGCUCAACUGAGGGCUUGCCAUUGAUACUGGGUAACUUGAUUACCGUAUAGGUAGGCGGAAUUUAUGGUGUAGCGGUGAAAUGCAUAGAUACCAUAAAGAACACCGAUAGCGAAGGCAGCUUACUGGACGUGUAAUGACGCUGAUGCACGAAAGCGUGGGUAGCGAACGGGAUUAGAUACCCCGGUAGUCC